AGAAUGAAAAUCUUCCUUUCAUGGCGGGGGUGGGGGGUCAUCUCGAGGACAUGUCGCACAAAGCAAGUGGAAAGAUGAAUGUCUCCUAACCAGUCUUCCAUGAGAUGAUGCCAGCGCUUAGCACAGAGACACAGGCAACCAGACCUGGACAAAUGAAAAUCACACUGGCGGGAGGCCAGUGUACGUGACGACUGAUGGAGAGAGAUGGCAGUCCCUGUUUCCUGGGGCUUCAAAAACCCGAGGGCACCCUGGCCACACACUGUGGGAGCGCAGGAACAGGAGUGCGCUAUCCAGCGCGCCACAAUUUCUGGAGUCAGGUGUCUUAGCUCAACAGAUGCCGUAUUAGGAACACACAUUACGGCUCCACUAUCUAGAUGAGGAUGCUGCGGCUGAAGGAGUUUCAGUGACCGUGCCAACCCACGCAGGGGCAGAGGCGCUGGUGCUGCUCGGCUUGUAAACAGGUCAUUCCCAUCUCUCCCUCCGUCUUCACGUGGCCUUCUUCCUUCGGUGCCUCUGGGUCGCUGUGUCUAAACUAUGAGGACAUCAGUCACUGUAUGAGGAACCACCCUAAUCCAUAGAACCUCAUCAUAACUUGGUUGCAUCUGCAAAGACGUUUUUUCAAGUAAGGCCGCACUCACAGUUUGCAGGUGGGCAUGUGUGCUUGGGAAACAACGUCCAACGCAUUACAGUUUCCCAAGAAACAAAUUCUAUAUGAUCCACAGCAGAUUCCGGACUAGUUGCCAAGU